UAGGUAGGUAGGUAGGUAGGUAGGUAGGUAGGUAGGUAGGUAGGUAGGUAAUGUAAGUUGCUUACUUCACUAUAUAUAGGGUGUAUUUAUAAGUAUAGCAUACCUCGGUAGAACGUCAUCUUACGAGCUAAUCGGUAAUAAAUAAAAGUUGGGCUCGGGAUCGGCCUUGGGGGAGGAUCUAGGGCGGGUGGAGGAGGGGCAGGGAGAGGGGGAGAACGCAUUUAAUAAUGGGCGAACGAUUUUGCGUUUCUGCGUCCGUGACUGAAACAAAUCGUGCGCGACGCAGUACGUUCUCACACGCUUUUUUUUCGAAGUAAAUCGGGAACGAACGUCGUUUCACGAGUCACGGCUACAUCUCGUGCGCGUUAAAUCACGCGUUGCUUUAUCUCAAUAUAAUCUAU